rfam:Bacillus sp. FJAT-22058 super1, whole genome shotgun sequence.
CGAAAAGCAUUGAAGAGGAUAAGUAGUCUUUUAAAAAGGCAGUCACAGAGAGCCGGGUAGCUGAGAGCCGGUAUUGUCCCAAAAGAUGAACUCACCUUGGAGUUUCAGCUUGAACGUCUGACUAGUAGAGCUGAACGGGUGCGUACCAGUACCCGUUACCAAAACAGAGAAUAGUGUAGUCUAUUCAAAGUGCGCAUGGAGUUUCAUGCGAAAAAGGGUGGUACCGUGGAGUGGCUCAUCAAGCCUUUUCACCCCUUUA